GCUUCCCAGAAAAGUUCAUUUUCAUUUUAUCAUAAUACUCUUAAUCUUUAUAAGAAAAUAUGAGUAUGGUGAUUUGGCUAUCACUAAACCCAACAUUCUCUACCUAGAUAGCAAAAUUACAAUAAGUACAUUGGCGAUCUUCAGUAGAUAGAUUUCUUGAUUUCUUCACACUUGCUUCCAUUAUGGAAUUUUCCCAAACACUUUGCCUAAUGGAAUUUUCUCAAACACUUUGCCUUUAUAUUUUUCCACCUCAAACCAUGUAUCCAUCAAACUUCACGAUUCUUCUUUUUUCCAAUACGAGCCUUAGCCCGUACACACAUUGUGCUCCGAUACCAAUUGAAGGGUUCUUAGGAACUGCUAGCUUGCAUAGCCGGGAAUCCUAAAUAUCAGGAUCACAUCCAAGAUCGUGUACAUAAUUAGCUAAAUGCGAAGUAAAUGGAUACAACUAUAAAUCGAGUGUAAGAAAUAAAGCAAACAUAAAAUACAUACUACAACAACACACAAUUUACAUGGUUCAAAUCAUAAGGCUACAUCCAUGGCUUCAGCAAGUAGAAAUUUAUUAUCUCAAUGACGAUUACAGUUUUGGUUUACAAGAGAUAAUACAUGUCUCUAACCAUCAGUAAAAGACCAUCACCGAUCUUUCUUUCUAAACUCGUUCUCCCGACCGAAAAACACUAUCGAUCAAUACUUUUUUUCCCACCGCAAUAUUACUACCGAAAAGAUAACUUCGAGAGCAACCGAUAUAUUUUCUCUCUCUAGAAGUGGAAGCUUUACCAACCAAAAACUGAUGAGAAUACCACCUGACCAAUCUCUAUCUUAAAGAUCCAUUCCUAUAACCGCCAAAGGGGUGACCUUCAAAAGAAUAUAAUAUUAUGUCUUCAUUGAGUAUCUUAUAUAGAUAUCACUUUCUUGCUUCUCAAGAAAGUCCAUUUUUAUUUAUCAUAAUACCCUUAAUCUUUAGAAGAAAAAUAUGGGUAUGGUAAUUUAGAAUAUUGUAAUGCAUUUUAGAAAUCUACUAUCUCAAUGAAUAUUAUAGUUUUUUUUAUUACAGGAGAUAAUACCUAUCUCUAAGCAUUGGUAAAAGACCAUCGCCGAUCUUUCUUUCUAAACUCGCUCGCUCGACAGAGAAACACCAUCGAUUAAUAACUUUUCCCACCGCAAUACCACUACUGAAAAGAUAACAUUGAGAACAACCGAUAGAUUUUCUCUCUCUAGAAGUGGAAGCUUUACCAACCCAAAACUCAUGGGAAUACCACUUGACCAAUCUCCAUCUUGAAGAUCUAUUCCCAUAACAUCUCCAUCUUGAAGAUCCAUUCUUAUAACCCUCAAAAGAGGGACCUUCUAAAAGAUAAGAUAUUAUGUCUUCAUUGAAUCUUUUAUAUGUGAGAAAUUGUAUGUUUGUAUAAUUGGGCCUUAAACCCCCAUGAAGAUGUAUUAUUGAGUUUAUCAAAGAUGUGAACAAGAGCCCCAAUUUAUAGGGUUACAAAUUUAUGUACUACUAAAGAAACUAACAUAUGUAAAGGAAUAUAUUGUUCCUAAACUAACAUAUUGUUCCUAAACAUCAGUGCAUGUUUCUAUAUUUUUAUACUCCCCCUCAUAGCUUAAGUUUGAACAAUUGAAGGUAGGCGUUAGUAAGAAAGCAGGAACAUAAGAAGCUUGAGCAGUUGCAAAUUAGCGAUCCUCAUAAACCUAUAUCUCGAACAGAGCAAUCUCGCAUAACAGCAAAUCAACAGGCAUUUGAAAUAGACAUGAUCGAGUAAACUUGAUCAUCACACAAGAUGAAGUAACGGAAAACUUGAUCAUCAACCAAGAUCAAUAAAUUCGAUCAUCAAACAUGAGGCACUUGACAGAGCUAACAGAAAUCAGCAGGGGAUCAACAAGCACUGUUGGACCUUAGAUUCGGAAUAGAGAACAUUAAGAUCUAAACACAGAUCAGAGAAUUGAAACACGACUCGACAGACAGAUCAUAGAGUCGAAAUACAACUCGGCAGAGAGACUGGUCAGAUAGUCGAAACACAACUCAGUAGAGAGACAAAUCAAAUAGGCGAAACACGACUCGGUAGUUGUUUUACAGAUGGUACAGAUUGGCCGUUUUCAUAUACCAUUUUCAAAUGUGGGUUUCAAAUCUAGCUCACCAAAGUUCCGACAUCAAAGGGGAGAUUGGUCGCAAAGGGACUCGAAAACCUUAUGAAUGCAAUAGUAACAGCAAAUACUGGAAGCAAAUACGGAGAAGGCUAGAGAGAGGUACAUCACUUUUGUACCAAAUAAAGUAGAAAAGGUAGAGAGAGAAAUAAGAGAUGGAACCCUUUAGUGGUACUGACAGCAUGAAUUGGAGUACUUUCAAAUACUUUGCAUCUGCAACUCCAGCCAUCUCUUGGAUGUUGAUUACCAAAACAUAUUUUCACCAACACUCCACAAAAAGAAAUGAUCCGAGAUAAGAGAAAACCCUGGUGAGAUAAGAGGGCAAAACAAAUUUGCAUGAUAUACAGGAAAAUUCAAUUAAUGAGUAUGUGAGUGUCCCGUCAAUCUCUAGUCUCUGAGCAUCGUAUCCAAAUUAAACACCAACAAAUAUUCAAAGUGAGAGAGAGAGUAAACUAGAGAGAGAAACAUAGCACGUUCUAGUGAGAGGGAAAAUUCUUCCCUGCCAUCACCCAGGCUUCGCGAUCAGAACAUGGUUGCCCCAUAUACAUCAGAUGCCGCCAUACCAGACCCACUUCUCCUCUCAAUGCGUGGCCUGCUGGGAGCUGAGCAGAGAAAGAGUUGUAUCCCCAAGGCCCGAACAUAAGGCCCAAACUGAUGAGAGAGAACUACUACAAGAAGAACGAAAUACAGAUAAGAGGAGCUGCCGAGUAGAGAACAUAAGGCCCAAAACGAUUGGAGAAGAGCCAAACUGAGAUCAGAGAAGUAUGAGAGGUGAAAUAGAGUUUUCACAUAUCACAGAGAAUACACAGAUCGUAUAAAACCUCGUUUUGAUAUCAUGUGAGAAAUUGUAUUUCUGUAUAAUUGAGUUUUUCAAAGUUUAUCAAAGAUGUAAACAAGAGCCCUAAUUUAUAAAAUUACAAAGUUGUGUAUUACUAAAAAAACGAACAUAUGAAAUGAACCACUUUUUUAAUAUGGGUACAUAUAAAAAGAAAU
rnacentral:lncRNA from 1 species